GGUUAAUUAGGGUUAAUGGGGGGGUGGUGGGGAGGGGGGUUAAUUAGCAAACGUUAAUUAAUUGGGAUUUAAUUGGGGGCGUCCUCAGGUCGGUGGUGGUGGGCAGCGCCAGAGGGGAAAUGGGCGUCAUCGACCUGCGCAAAGGGCGGCUGCUGAAGUGCCUGAAGGGGGUGGGGGGCAGCCCGCGGGGGCUUCCGGCUGAAGGGGGUGGGGGGCAGCGUGCGGGGGCUGCAGUGUCACCCCUCGCUGCCCCUCGUCGCCUCCUGCGGCCUCGAUCGCUUCCUGCGCCUCCACAGCCUCCACGACAAACGGCUGCUGCACAAGGUGUACCUGAAGUCACGCUUGAACUGCCUUCUGUUGAGCAGCUGCCAGGACCUGGAGGUGAGAAAGGGAGGGAGGGGGGGGUAAGGGGGGGUCCUUGGGGUCCACCCAAAUGGAGUGACCCCAAAUCAUCGCCCCAAAUCGGCUCGUGUCACUCCAGUUGGCUUGGAAGGGUCCUUGAAGGUCAUAGGGUGGGUUGGCUUGAGUUGGAAAGGUCCUUGAAGGUGAAAUAGCCAUGGAAGAGGGAUAAAAAGGUCCUUGAAGGGCAUAGGAAGGGUUGAGUUGGACUGGAAGGAUCUUGAAGGUUGAAGAAUGAUGGGUUGGGAAGGUCCUUGAAGGUCGUAGAAACACGGAAUGGGAUGGACGGGUCCUUGAAGGUCAAAGAUCCGUGGUUUGAGUUGAAGGGUCCUGGAAGGUCAAAGAAAUAUUGAAACCCCCCCUGGCCCCCCCCCCGGCUGGGGAUGCCCCCCCCCCUGUGGAGGGCGGCGAUGCGCUGUGGGACGCGAUGGAAACCGUUUGUGCCCAGAAACGAGCCCCAAAAAGGAAGAAUUUGGGGCCGUGAGGGGGGGGCACUGCGACCCCCCCCCCCCCCCCUCCC
rnacentral:lncRNA from 1 species